CAACCUGCCGUCUACUCUUGGACAGCCUUCUGAAAGGAAGAUUAAUACAAGAUGGCAUCAUGAGUCCNCAUGUUCACAUGAUUAAAGGUAUUCCGGUAGACGAUGGGGAUGCGUUCCAUUAGAUAGUAGGCGGGGUAACGGCCCACCUAGUCUUCGAUGGAUAGGGGUUCUGAGAGGAAGGUCCCCCACAUUGGAACUGAGACACGGUCCAAACUCCUACGGGAGGCAGCAGUGAGGAAUAUUGGUCAAUGGGCGAGAGCCUGAACCAGCCAAGUAGCGUGAAGGAUGACUGCCCUAUGGGUUGUAAACUUCUUUUAUAAAGGAAUAAAGUCGGGUAUGGAUACCCGUUUGCAUGUACUUUAUGAAUAAGGAUCGGCUAACUCCGCGCCAGCAGCCGCGGUAAUACGGAGGAUCCGAGCGUUAUCCGGAUUUAUUGGGUUUAAAGGGAGCGUAGAUGGAUGUUUAAGUCAGUUGUGAAAGUUUGCGGCUCAACCGUAAAAUUGCAGUUGAUACUGGAUAUCUUGAGUGCAGUUGAGGCAGGCGGAAUUCGUGGUGUAGCGGUGAAAUGCUUAGAUAUCACGAAGAACUCCGAUUG
rnacentral:rRNA from 1 species